AUUGAACGCUGGCGGCAUGCCUAACACAUGCAAGUCGAGCGGAUGAGGGGAGCUUGCUCCUGGAUUCAGCGGCGGACGGGUGAGUAAUGCCUAGGAAUCUGCCUGGCAGGGGGGGAUAACGUCCGGAAACGGGCGCUAAUACCGCAUACGUCCAGAUGGAGCAAGUGGGGGAUCGUCGGACCUCUCGCUAUCAGAUGAGCCUAGGCCGGAUUAGCUAGCUGGUGGGGUAAGGGCCUACCAAGGCGACGAUCCGUAACUGGUCUGAGAGGAGGAUCAGUCACACUGGAAGUGAGACACGGUCCAGACGCCUACGGGAGGCAGCAGUGGGGAAUAUUGGACAAUGGGCGAAAGCCUGAUCCAGCCAUGCCGCGUGUGUGAAGAAGGUCUUCGGAUUGUAAAGCACUUUAAGUUGGGAGGAAGGGCAGUAAGUUAAUACCUUGCUGUUUUGACGGUACCAACAGAAUAAGCACCGGCUAACUUCGUG
rnacentral:rRNA from 1 species